CAGUCGCCGCGGGAAUACGGAGGGAGCUAGCGUUGUUCGGAAUUACUGGGCGUAAAGCGCACGUAGGCGGCUUUGUAAGUUAGAGGUGAAAGCCUGGAGCUCAACUCCAGAAUUGCCUUUAAGACUGCAUCGCUUGAAUCCAGGAGAGGUGAGUGGAAUUCCGAGUGUAGAGGUGAAAUUCGUAGAUAUUCGGAAGAACACCAGUGGCGAAGGCGGCUCACUGGUCUGUAACUGACGCUGAGGAGCGAAAGCGUGGGGAGCGAACAGGAUUAGAACCCCGGUAGUCCCUGUCUCUUAUACC
rnacentral:rRNA from 1 species